CACUCCUAAUUUGUCUGCAUGCAAGGAGAACCAGACUUAAGGUAGGAUCCACUCAUUUACUGACUGAUUGCUUAUUGAAUGCCUUCUCUGUGCUGGACAGUAGGAGUAAGAUGAGGAGCACUGUGGACUUUGUCCCUGCCCUCAUACAUUUAUGAUAAGGGGUUGUGGGGUCAGGGCAUGGAAAAAACAAAAGGCAAAUCUUUAAGACAAACUGAUUGGAAACGACUGCUAUUGGUUAAAUACACCCACAUGUUGAGAUAAUUUGUACUUUCCCAAAACAUUAUCUUGAUAACAUUAUAGUCCCAGAAAGCGUUAGGGAAUGUAGUAAUGAAACUUUGGCAGGUCUUGUGCCUCUACAAUGUUUGUGUUGCUCAUGACCUUUGUACAUGAAUGCUUUUGCCCAUGUGGCCAGUCAAAAAAUGACCUGGUUGACCUGUUUUUCCAAAAGACCUUUGACCAAAUCUUUGAUGGACAAACAGAGAAUCAUGUUUUCAAGAAGGAUCUACUUGCAAGCAAAGUUCUAUAGUGUAGUCAGGGAAGGCUCUAUGAAGUAAUGAACUCUUCUGGCAAAGAUCUGAAGGAUGAGUAGAAAAUAGUCUGGUCAUGAGCUAGGGGAAGUGAUUUACAGGCAGGAGUAACAUGUGGAAUACAGAAUAAUUUGACUUUAAUAAAUUUCAAAUGGUAAAAAUUUUCCAAAGUUCAAAAUAGAAACAUAACAUCCCGUGAUAUUAGAAAAUCUCAUUACUUUACUUUAGUCUGGCCAGAAAUGUGUCAAGAGGAAGACUUCAAAGAGGUAGAUUUCAUCUCUCUGGCCUGUAAACAAAAUGCCCAAAACACUUCCCCAAGGCUUAAAGUCAGUUUGUAAUUACUCUUUUCAUCACCUCAGAAGAAUUUCCAAACUUUAGUAACGUAGUAAAAUUUUUUUUGGCCUUUGUGAAUAAAUACUAUGAAAUUUGGUUCAAAAGAUAAAGCAAAGAGCAACUGAGGUCUUCAAAACAUCAUGUAUCUAGAAGGUAUUACCAAACAUCCGUUUUUUUUAAAAAAGCAUAAGGCAUAAAAUCAAUUCACUAAUGUCAUGCUAGAGUGAGGUAGUAAAAUGAGGCAACUCAGACCAGAUGGUGUAAUUCAUAAACAGGGCUGUCAUUUGGGAAAACGGGUGGAGUGGAUGGAGAAAUUAACUUGCAGUCUUUCCCCUUCCAUUUCUUCCCAAUCCAACUAACCUUAUUCCUCUGGGUCAUUUAGCUGUGGCUAAAACACACACACACACACACACACACACACACACACGUGUGUAUAUAUAUAAUAUAUAUAUAAUAUACUUUUUACUUAUAGCCAUAGGUAAAUGGUGAAUGAAGUAGAUGAUUGACCUGUGUGCAUAGCACACAGCAUUGCUAUUUGAUGUUUGAUGAAAUAUCAAUGCUCUCAGAAUAAAUAAUUAAAUGAGUGUAUAUAUAUAGACACACACACACACACACACACACACACACACAUAUAUUUCUUUUUUAAAAGAGUGUAAUUGAUGCCAAAGCCACUUUCUCUUCAGAGCUGCUUAACUACAUGAAGAGUGUGCACCAACCUGGGGUUGCAAAGAGUUCUCUACCUUGUCCGGCUUCUGGAAAGGAUGUGCGCUUUGCUCAAUGGGGAAUGGAUAAGAUGAGGAUGUCCCACUGCUGGUUGGUUAGUACAUUUUUGUAGAUGAAGCAAAGCACAUCUGUUCUUAUACAGAAUCUCAUCUUUAAAAGGGACCUCAGAUAGCAUCUAAUUCAAAAACUCAUCUAAUGCAGUGCAGUAUUCCUCUAAGAUACAUACAUAAAUGCUGGCUAAAUGCCCCCAGGGAUGGAAGUUUACUGCCUCACAAGGCAGCCAAUUAUCUUUCUGACAGGUGCCAUUCUUCCUAAUACUGAGGUAAAGUCCAUUGUUCUUUAGCUUCCACAAAAAGCAGUGAUAAUACUCUUGACGGCUUGCCCUGUGCCAGGGUCUGUGCCAAGGAGCUUCAUAUGCAUUGUUUGUAACACUUGCAACAUUAGUGGCAGGCAGGGAUCAUCCUGCACAUUUUACAGUCCACAGCCAAAUAGAGGAAGAAAGUGGAUGGAGACUGCCCAAAGUGGGUAAAUUGAAAGUAGCAAGAAAAGGCCAGGUGAGGAAACCGAGAGAGGCAGAGAGGUUAAUAAACUUGUCCCCAGAGUAACAUGUAAGAAAAUGAUAGAGAUA
rnacentral:lncRNA from 1 species